GACGAACGCUGGCGGCGUGCCUAACACAUGCAAGUCGAGCGAAUGAAGUUCCUUCGGGAAUGGAUUUAGCGGCGGACGGGUGAGUAACACGUGGGCAACCUGCCUCAUAGAGGGGAAUAGCCUUCCGAAAGGGAGAUUAAUACCGCAUAAGAUUGUAGUACCGCAUGGUACAGCAAUUAAAGGAGCAAUCCGCUAUGAGAUGGGCCCGCGGCGCAUUAGCUAGUUGGUGAGGUAACGGCUCACCAAGGCGACGAUGCGUAGCCGACCUGAGAGGGUGAGCGGCCACAUUGGGACUGAGACACGGCCCAGACUCCUACGGGAGGCAGCAGUGGGGAAUAUUGCACAAUGGGGGAAACCCUGAUGCAGCAACGCCGCGUGAGUGAUGACGGCCUUCGGGUUGUAAAGCUCUGUCUUCAGGGACGAUAAUGACGGUACCUGAGGAGGAAGCCACGGCUAACUACGUGCCAGCAGCCGCAGUAAUAC
rnacentral:rRNA from 1 species